UCAAGUGAUCCGCCUGCCUCAGCCUCCCAAAGUGCUGGGAUUACAGGCGUGAGCCACUGUGCAUGGCUACUUAACCUCUCGACAGCCCUUCUUUCUGAAAUGUUUUCCCCUUGGCUUCCACAGCACCACAUUCCCCCAGUUUUCUUGUUACCCUCUUGGCCACUCCUUUUCAGUUUCUUAUGAGGUUCCUCUUCUCCUCAUACCUUUAAUGUUGGUGUUCUGACAUAGGCCUUGUUCUGGCUUUACUAGCUAUCUAGAGUCCUGCUAAUUCCCUGAAUCAGGCCACUGCCAUCUCAUGCCUGCGUUGCACUGAGGACCUCCAGUCUGGAAGCUCAUUUUCCAUAUCUUUACAAAGCAGAUCUAUCACUCUGAACUGUUGUCUCGACCCGAGUUUUGAUAGGUAUUGUGCUGGGAUCUGACCAUUCAAAAUACAAUCACUGGAAUCUGAAGAAGUAUUCUGUGGGAGUGAAUGGAAAUAUAUAUGACUUUUAAAUGGGCAAAGGUAAUGUUUUUCUGUAAGAAUUAAAUACCUGCAGUUGUAUUAUUUGAAGGUGCAUUUUCAGGGGCGAGCUGCAAAACAUCUGUCAGGUCCCAACAUUUGUCUACUGGUGUUUUUUUAAAUGUGGAUUGCCAAAAUCUUUAUUCAUGAUGGACAUUAUGUAGGAGUGGUUAAUACUUACAUAGCACUUACCUGUGUCAGGCACACUGAUCAAAAUAACCGACGAAGUAUUAUUCAACAUAAAGAAAAAUCUAACUUGGAUGUGAAUGAUCAGAGAACUUAAGUUUUAAUUUUUAAACCUUUCAGAAAUUGUUAAUAUAGAUGUUUAUAACUUCCACCUUUUAAAUUAUUUCACUUAUUGAACAGAUAUUAGUGAACUUCUAGGUGCUGAGGAAACAACAAAGAGCAAAGCAAAGUCCCUGUCCCCCAGGAGUUCGCGUUUUAACGGGGAAGAAAAAUAAGCAAGUGAAAUGGACGACUGUGAGAAGACGGAGCAGGGAGAUGUUACUAUUGCUUGUAGGGUGGUCACAGAAUGCCUGCAAAAACAACCCUUUUGAAGAAUUGGGAAAAAAAUAAAAACCAUUUGGCUGAAA